UAAAUAGGGACUGAUAAUUACACCGCGUGCCUGGCUAGUUUACACCUGCUAAAAUGUCUACUUUUCAUACGGAAUAGUGGAUACACAACUUUCGUGUUGCAAAAUAGCUUGAAUGGAUCGUGAGAAACUUCUCGUUGCUUGCUCGCAAUUUGAAGUUGUAGUUACACAGAUAGAAAUUUUUAUAUCAUAUUGAAAUCUGAUGGGGGUGGAAGGCCGGUUCAUCGCAACUAUCCAACGGGUGCAGCACUGCUCAAAUAGCCUUCUAGCGAGCGAUAGGGAUGCCAACAAAAUCUAUAUAUAAAAAAGAUGUCAUCAUUCAUCACCUUACAGAACUAGAUCAUCUCAAUUCGAUCUCGAUCUUGUCAUUGAUGAGAAAGACAAUUUUAACACUGUAUAUAAUAAAUUCAUUAUCAAACAAUGAAGAGCAGUGAGUAUCCAGCUGAUACAUACCUAGCUAGCGAGAAGUAUCUACUUGAAUAGAUUUAGGUAUCUAUUUCAUAAGCAAUCAAUUAAAUAUUGAUAGAUUGCUAGAUAUCUAGUUAGGCUAGACAAAUUAUUAGAUAUCCAGCUGGUAGGCAUCUAGAUAGCUAGCAAUAUCUAAUUCUAUAGAAAUCAAUUGGAUAUCAAGUGG
rnacentral:sRNA from 2 species